AUGCCAUGAUGAGGACAUCUUCUCAAGAGUUCCUUGAACCAUUCCCAAGCUUCAUACAAAGACUCUACAUCAUUCUGGCAAAAAUUGUUGAUCUCUCCCCUCAAUUU